GGGAGUAGAGGGAGUGCAGGCCGAGCUGGGAGCUGAGUCAUGGCUGGAGCCUGGAGCAGAAGCAGAGGGAGUGUAGCUCCCAUCUUGGCCUAUCUCAUGACUGGAGCCCGGAGCAGGAGCAGAGGGAGUGCAGCCCAAGCUGGGAGCUGAGUCGUGGCUCAGGCCUGGAGCUGGGAGGAGGGAGUGCAGGCCAAGCUGGGAGCUGAGUCAUGGCUGGAGCCUGGAGUGGGAGCAGAGGGAGCACAGGCCAAGCUAGGAGUUGUCUCAUAGCUGGAGCCCGGAGUGGGAGCAGAGGAUGUCCUGGGGGUGAGUCUGGGACAGAGGCCAGCACGUGAGGUAGCAAGACCUUGUGUUUUGAAGGCUGGCACAGUGAGAAAGGACUAUAACGUUUCCGGAAUUUCCUAGUCAGUUGAAGCAAGGCAAGAGCACGGAGCAAAAGAGGGGACUGCAAGCACAGCAGGGAAAUGUAUCAAUGAGUAGUGAAACUUCACACUGCUUUCUUCAGUUAUUUGACAUUCUCCAACAGGAACAGGAGCAGCAGCAGGAACUGAAUUACCAGCAGGAUCAGGAUCAUCAGCAGGAACUAGAUUACCAGCAGGAACUGGAUCAUCAACAGGAUCAGGAGCAUCAGCAGGAACAGAAUUACAAGCAGGAUCAUGCUCAUCAGCAGGAACUAGAUUACCAGCAGGAUCACAAUCAUCAGCAGGAAAUGCCAACACCACCAGGAACAAGAGCAAAGGAAUUGCUGGAACACCAGCAGGAACUGGAGCAUCGGCAAGACCAGGCGCACCGGCGAGAAUAGGUGCAUCCAGAAUAGACAGGAGCUGUUGCAGGAACGAGAUAAAACUGCUGGUGUUCUAUGAGGAGGAAAGGAAUUUGUUGUUCUGUGAGGACUCUAACGGGAAUGUUGUAUUGAUGGGAUAGUCUUCACAUUUGGUGUUGCU